AUAGAAUAGAAAAUAGUUGAAAGAUUACAUAGGGAAGUCAUCACCUCACCCACCUACUGACCUAUUCCACUGAAAUCUGGCAAUCUGGCGUUUUACUCAGGGGCAAAAAUUCAGAGGGCUCAUCUCUAAGGAAAUUGAACUAACCGGGAGGAACAAAGCCAACCAGUGUGAGUGCUCCUGACUGAGUAAAGCUCUCCUCAUUUCUCACUGGGAAUGUUGCCAACAUAAAGGAUGGCUCCCCAUGCUCUAAUCUUAAAGACAGGAGCCAGUCCAAAUAAGAAGAGUCUGGAAGCCAAUGAAAUAUGGCAGAGCAAUCAAAAUAAACCACAUGAAGCACAACUGAUGGAGGAGAUGAGUGAGUAUCAAUAAAAUAAUACAAAGAACACCUGAGAACAUCAAAAUGACAGCUUAAUGCAGAUAAAAGACUUUCAAGAGACAUAUACAUAAUUUCCCAAUUAUAUGUUUAGAAUAUGAGUUAAGGGAGCAGAAUUACUGUUGACAUCUGAGUGUAUGAUCUGAAACAUCAAGUGCAAGAAAUGUCUCAGGGAAGAG
rnacentral:lncRNA from 10 species